rnacentral:rRNA from 1 species
UACGAAGGGGGCUAGCGUUGCUCGGAAUCACUGGGCGUAAAGGGUGCGUAGGCGGGUCUUUAAGUCAGGGGUGAAAUCCUGGAGCUCAACUCCAGAACUGCCUUUGAUACUGGAGACCUUGAGUCCGGGAGAGGUGAGUGGAAUUGCGAGUGUAGAGGUGAAAUUCGUAGAUAUUCGCAAGAACACCAGUGGCGAAGGCGGCUCACUGGCCCGGAACUGACGCUGAGACGCGAAAGCGUGGGGAGCAAACAGG